UACGUAGGAUGCAAGCGUUGUCCGGAUUUACUGGGCGUAAAGCGCGCGCAGGCGGCAUACCAAGUAUUCAGUGAAAUCUCCCUGCUCAACGGGGAGGGUGCUGAGUAGACUGGUAAGCUAGAGGACGGUAGAGGGGGGUAGAAUUGCUGGUGUAGCGGUGAAAUGCGUAGAGAUCAGGAGGAACACCGGUGGCGAAGGCGGGUCUCUGGGCAAUAACUGACGCUGAGGAGCGAAAGCGUGGGGAGCGAACAGG
rnacentral:rRNA from 1 species